rnacentral:sRNA from 1 species
UGCCCUCGACUUUCCCUUGCCACAUUAAU